CUACGGGAGGCACCAGUGAGGAAUAUUGCACAAUGGGCGCAAGCCUGAUGCAGCCAUGCCGCGUGUAUGAAGAAGGCCUUCGGGUUGUAAAGUACUUUCAGCGGGGAGGAAGGGAGUAAAGUUAAUACCUUUGCUCAUUGACGUUACCCGCAGAAGAAGCACCGGCUAACUCCGUGCCAGCAGCCGCGGUAAUACGGAGGGUGCAAGCGUUAAUCGAAAUUACUGGGCGUAAAGCGCACGCAGGCGGUUUGUUAAGUCAGAUGUGAAAUCCCCGGGCUCAACCUGGGAACUGCAUCUGAUACUGGCAAGCUUGAGUCUCGUAGAGGGGGGUAGAAUUCCAGGUGUAGCGGUGAAAUGCGUAGAGAUCUGGAGGAAUACCGGUGGCGAAGGCGGCCCCCUGGACGAAGACUGACGCUCAGGUGCGAAAGCGUGGGGAGCAAACAGGAUUAGAUACCCCAGUAGUC
rnacentral:rRNA from 1 species